rnacentral:tRNA from 1 species
GCCGGCAUAGCUCAGAUGGCAGAGCGGCUGUUUUGUAAACAGCGGGUCGCGGGUUCGAUGCCUGCUGCCGGCCCCA